rnacentral:miRNA from 1 species
AAUUGCACUUUACAGUGGUGUU